AUUGCACGCUGGCGGCAGGCCUAACACAUGCAAGUAGAACGAGUGGCGGACGGGUGAGGAAUGUCUGGGAAACUGCCAGAUGGAGGGGGAUAACUACUGGAAACGGGAGAUAAUACCGCAUACCAUCAGAUGUGCCCCGAUGGGAUUAGCUAGUUGGUGGGGUAAAGGCUCAACAAGGCGACGAUCCCUAGCUGGUCUGCGAGGAUUACCAGCCACACUGGAACGGAGACACGGUCCAGACUCCUACGGGAGGCAGCAUUGGGGAAUAUUGCCCAAGGGGCGCAAGCCGGAUGCAGCCCUGCCGCGUGUAUGAAGAAGGCCUUCGGGUUUUAAAGUACUUUCAUUGGGGAGGCGUUACCCGCACAAGAAGCACCGGCUAACUCCGUGCCAGCAGCCGCGGUAAUUC
rnacentral:rRNA from 1 species